UACAGAGGGGGCAAGCGUUAUUCGGAAUUAUUGGGCGUAAAGGGCGCGUAGGCGGCUUUGCAAGUGACGGGUGAAAUCCCUCGGCUUAACCGAGGAACUGCCUGUCAAACUGCAUGGCUUGAGACCGGGAGAGGUGAGUGGAAUUCCCAGUGUAGCGGUGAAAUGCGUAGAUAUCAGGAGGAACACCAACGGCGAAGGCAGCUCGCUGGGACGGUACUGACACUGAGGCGCGAAAGCGUGGGGAGCGAACAGG
rnacentral:rRNA from 1 species